GAUAUUAGCAAUGAAAUUCCUCACUCAAGUUGUGUACAAGGGGAUAAUAGUUGUGGUUCAAAUGAGAGUAAGCGCAAAAGGAUUCGUAUUGUUUCAGAUUCAAACGCAACAGCUCCCCUUAAAGAAGUAGAUAGAAAAGUUUUGGGAAAGAGGUCGAAUCGUGGACGUACAAUUAGAAGACCUAAUUUGCAACGUUCAAAGAAAAGGAUCAAUAUGAGUUAGUGCAUUUUUUUCCCUUUUUAUUAGUUUCAUAAAACUUGAUAAUAGGAUUAG